rnacentral:rRNA from 1 species
AGAGUUUGAUCCUGGCUCAGGAUGAACGCUGGCGGUAUGCUUAACACAUGCAAGUCGAACGAGAGUUUUUAACUCUAGUGGCGAACGGGUGAGUAAUACGUGAGAAUCUGCCCUUAGGAGAAGAAUAACUACUGGAAACGGUAGCUAAGUCUUCAUAUGCCGAGAGGUGAAAUAGUUUCAACUGCCUAAGGAUGAGCUCACGCCUGAUUAGCUUGUUGGUGAGGUAACGGCUUACCAAGGCCACGAUCAGUAGCUGGUUUGAGAGAACGAUCAGCCACACUGGGACUGAGACACGGCCCAGACUCCUCCGGGAGGCAGCAGUGAGGAAUUUUCCGCAAUGGGCGAAAGCCUGACGGAGCAAUACCGCGUGAGGGAUGAAGGAUUUUGGUCUGUAAACCUCUUUUCUCAAGAAAGAAGUUCUGACGGUACUUGAGGAAUAAGCAUCGGCUAACUCCGUGCCAGCAGCCGCGGUAAUACGGGGGAUGCAAGCGUUAUCCGGAAUCAUUGGGCGUAAAGCGCCUGUAGGUUGUUUAGUAAGUCUGUUGUUAAAGACCAGGGCUUAACCCUGGGAAAGCAAUGGAAACUACUAGACUUGAGUAUGGCAGGGGUAGAGGGAAUUUCUAGUGUAGCGGUGAAAUGCGUAGAUAUUAGAAAGAACACCGGUGGCGAAAGCGCUCUACUGGACCAUUACUGACACUCAGAGGCGAAAGCUAGGGGAGCAAAAGGGAUUAGAUACCCCUGUAGUCCUAGCCGUAAACGAUGGAUACUAGAUGUUGCGCAAUUUGUGCAGUAUCUUAGCUAACGCGUUAAGUAUCCCGCCUGGGGAGUACGCUCGCAAGGGUGAAACUCAAAGGAAUUGACGGGGGCCCGCACAAGCGGUGGAGCAUGUGGUUUAAUUCGAU